CAGAGAUAUGAACCUGGAGAAGAGUCCCCUAAGGAAGCUGGUCCUGGGGCUCUGUUCACAAACAGACCCCACAGAGCCCUAAGACAGCAGCACAAUUAGACCCAACCAAAUCCCUCUCUCUCUCCCCCUCUCCCUCUCUCAGCCUCUCUGUGUCUCUGCGACUAUUGUCUGUAUUGACAUAAUGAAGCCAUUCAUCCUCUGGUACUUAACCUGUCAGUUGUGUUGCUAGUGUAGUUUACAGCAGUACUGUUA
rnacentral:lncRNA from 1 species